GUUUUAUUAAGAACAUGGGAUUCAGUACUCUGUGCUUAUCCCUUGAGUAAUUCUUGCUCUCUGCCUGAAACACUGUCUCUCAUCCCAGGGUGGCUGAAUUGCAGUGGUGAGCAAAUAAUGAUGUCUACAGCAAAUAAUCAGGUGGUGAAGAGCAUUGGGUGCUUGGAGAUCUUUGGCCAGAGGAUACAGCACCAAGUUAUUCUCUCCUUGGCAGGAGGACCUGGGGGCUCUGGAUGAUGGGUGAGGCGAGGAGGCCAGCAGAAUUACUGUUUGAAGAGCAGUCCUUCUUCUUCCAAAACUGGUACAGAAAGGAAUUUUUCCUGUCAGACAGCACCUGCCAUCUGAAUGAAAGCAGCAUCCUUGGAAACAGCUAUUUACCAAAGAAUUUAAUACAAGAGAAAAUUAAUAAUUUUGAAAGAGCUGAAUUUCUUAACUGGGAUAUCCUACCUGCCCACCUGACAGAACACCAGACAGAACCUGACCUGGCUGAUUGAGAGCAGCUCUACUCCAAAUGGUUCAGGAUGUAAAGUGGAGGAGCAUUGUGUGCCACCUGUGCCACCUGCAGAAUCAUCCACAGAGACAAACAGAAUGAGGAAAGACCCCUUAUUUUAAUAAUAAAACCAAUAAUAGUAUAAAGCA
rnacentral:lncRNA from 1 species